rnacentral:rRNA from 1 species
AUUUUAUUAAAUGUACAUUUGAUUUUAUUUGGUUUGAUUGCCUUUUGCAUCAUGCUUUAUGGACUAAAAUCAAUUAAGGUUGUUAACCGAAAAGCUUAGAUUUAGCAUCAGAUUAGUUAGUUUAAUUAGUACAGGUAGUAUAUUUAAAUCUGGUGUUAGCUGUGAUAAAUAAGUCGUUGAGUUUUAUAUCUGUUUUAGAGGGUUUAUUUUGUUAAACUUGUUUGGUGAAGAGAUCAAGCAAGAGAGUAUAGGCGUCAUGUAUAUGUAAUAAUGUUAGGGUUAAAAUUACCUUUUUAUAAAGAGUAUGUUACAAUUUCGUGUUAUUAUUUUAUGCUUUACUUUUGACCUCUCUAUAAUGUUAAUAUGUUGCGUUUAAGUAUCAUAUAAUAAGUAAUUCUAAUAGUUUCUUUGUUUCUCAUCAACAUCCCGUCUGUUUAUUAAAAACAUUUCCAUAUAAUAUAGUAUAUAUGGUAGGACCUGCUCUAUGUGUUAUAAAUGGCCGCAGUAUCUUGACUGUGCGAAGGUAGCAUAAUUAAUUGCUCUUUAAAUGGGGGCUUGUUUGAAUGGUUUGACGAGGUUGUUUUUAACAUAGAAGCUUUUGUUGAAAUUGAUGGUGUGAAUACAGAAUUUACAUUAUUUAAUUAGACGGAAAGACCCUAGGAUCUUUAUGUAUUUUGCUUGGGGCAAGUAAAAAUAGUUUAUUUGUUUUGUGACCCUUUGUGAGUUUAUAGGUUUAAGUUACCCUAGGGAUAACAGAGUAAUAGUUUAUUAGAGUUCUUAUCGAUUAAACUGUUUGCUACCUCGAUGUUGACUUGGGUUAAUGCUCUGGCGCAGUAGUUAGAGGUUUUGGUCUGUUCGACCACAUGUACCCCCAUGAGUUGAGUUAAGACCGGCGUAAGCCAGGUCGGUUCUUAUCUAUUUUUCUAAUUUGUUAGUACGAAAGGAUUGCAAAUUAUUUUAGU